UGUGGCUUUGCUGCAGUGAGAGGCAGAUUAGAAAAGUUUGUAUUGUUACCAGUAAAGAGGAGAAUGGAUUUAAUACAAAUUCACCUUCUUUAAAUGUUGGCUCAUAGAUAUUGUGCAUUAGUGCAAUACCAAAUGAUAUUAAUGAUUGGAACUCUGGACUCUUCUAUACAUGCUGUGUCAGCAAUAACAAAGAAAGAGUUGUGGUCAAAGAAGAUGAGCGAUUCAGUUUUAGAUUUUGUUGGUUACGACCGAUCACUACUCUGUGCCCUAGCUAACGGUUAUAUUGCAGUACUAGCAACUGCUGGAGUCACACCUCCUGAGCUAGAUCCACUCUUAUACCAUAUUGGAAAUACAGCUAUAGAAGCUAUUAUAUACAGUACACACCAUUUGAGCAUAUCUGGUGUGCUUGUGGCAAAGCAAUCACUAUGAUAUCAUCAGAAACCCAUGAACUGAUCAAACCUGUUGUGAUGCCUGACAAUGCUGGUAAAGUGUAUCACAUGGAGUUGGGACCUCACAGGAUAUGGGUCACCUUCAAUUCGUCAACUAUCAUCUGUUUAUAUGACACUCAGCACAUGAUUGAACUAUUGCAAGUUGACUAUCCACAAUUAUUACAAACAGAGUUACCGGUGUCUGAGGAGCUUAUCGUAUAAUAGUGGCUACACUGAUUGACGAUUUAUUGGGGAUAGGAAUUUGAAAUGCGUGCAUUCACAUACAUGUAUAUAUUUUCAGUUAAUCCCAUUGUCACUUGUCCAAAGGAUAGUACCGUACAAAUUGCUCGUCAAUUACACAUAGCGGACUCCUUUCAAGUAGAAAAGGGCCUUUAAGAGAGUCCAGUAUCAGUAAAGGUCUGGUAUCAAUGACCACACCCAACUGGUAUCGCAUCAUAAAAAGAACUUUGGUAAAACCUUUAGACGUCAAAUAAGGAGAGAUGCUGAGAUCAAGGACAGAGAGGGAAUAUAUGAGUUAUACCACUUGAGUAGCAGUAGGGUACUACCUGACAGUAAGGAUUGUUCAGGCGUGAAUAUACUCAAGCCAAUAAAGUUUGAGGGCCAGUUGUUUGUCAUUAGUUGUCUUAAUGAUCAUAGUGUGGUUGAGAAAGCUGUUCAGUUGUGGCAAUGUUCUUCAUCUCUCCCACCUAAUCGCAUAAGAAUAAAACAACAAUAUGAGUACAGUUAGAUCAAUUACAAAAUGUAUAGCUAGUGUGUGCAUUUUUAUCUGAAUACACUACAUUAUGGCUCACUACUAAAAGCAAAGACAUAUCUUUUGAACUCAGGUUAUAUAAAGACAGUCUAUAGCAUAUAUUUUUUGUCAGUACACAAUA